AGUGAUGUCUGAUUUGUUCGCUGACGUUCUGGUUGGGUGCUGCUGGAUCUUGGAGAUCGUGAGUGGUUGAUGGCUGAAAAACAUGAGAAGAGAGGGAGAUAUGAACAGAAAUAUGUAAAGUGAGACAGCAUGAUGAAGAGGGGGGAAUGAGCGGAGCAGGCAUGGACGAUGGUGACUUCAAGUUUGGAAGGGGAACCGAUAGAGCAAACGGAUGUAAGCAGGUGUAAGCUCUCUGUGGGACUGUAUAAGACAGCACAACAUCCUUAACAGAUGUUUCCAGUCUCCAGUGGCACCAGUCAACUGAGAUAGACCCUCAGGGGAGCACCAAGAUGGUGGGACAACCUGGCGCACAGAUAUCUGAUGAUUGGUCAACUCCAGCAUUGGUAUGCAUCCCUCAUAUCUGCCCAGUAUACAAGCCUAUUGUUGGGCAGUUGUUGAAACUGCCGGUGUUUCACAAAGAGGUGAAACAUAGCACUUUCGUGCCCAAAGGGUGCUGCCUCCCAAUGAUUAAAGAUUAAAAAUGCAAGACAUACACAUAAUUACAAAAAACUAAUUAUUUCCCUGAAAAUGAAUUAAAAUAGUGCCUCCACAGGGGAUUUGAGUCUAAUUAUUUCAUUUAACUGUAAAAAAAGGCCCUUGGGGAUAUUUUUGGCUUUUACCUUUAAUUUCAG